rnacentral:rRNA from 1 species
GUCCCAGCAGCCGCGGUAAUACGGAGGAUGCGAGCGUUAUCCGGAUUUAUUGGGUUUAAAGGGUGCGUAGGCUGUUAUAUAAGUCAGUGGUGAAAUAUUCGGGCUCAACCGGGAUACUGCCAUUGAUACUGUAUAGCUGGAAUAUGGUUGCUGUGGGUGGAAUGUGUGGUGUAGCGGUGAAAUGCAUAGAUAUCACACAGAAUAUCGAUUGCGAAGGCAACUCACAAAGCCAUUAUUGACGCUGAUGCACGAAAGUGUGGGGAUCAAACAGGAUUAGAUACCCUGGUAGUCCACACCGUAAACGAUGAUAACUAGCUGUCGGCGAUAGAUAGUCGGUGGCUAAGCGAAAGCGAUAAGUUAUCCACCUGGGGAGUACGACCGCAAGGUUGAAACUCAAAGGAAUUGACGGGGGCCCGCACAAGCGGAGGAACAUGUGGUUUAAUUCGAUGAUACGCGAGGAACCUUACCCGGGCUCGAACGGUGCAGGAAUAUGGUAGAGAUAUCAUAGCUAGCAAUAGUCUGUAUCGAGGUGCUGCAUGGUUGUCGUCAGCUCGUGCCGUGAGGUGUCGGCUUAAGUGCCAUAACGAGCGCAACCCUUGUCGUUAGUUACCAUCAAGUAAAGUUGGGGACUCUAGCGAGACUGCCACCGUAAGGUGUGAGGAAGGGGGGGAUGACGUCAAAUCAGCACGGCCCUUACGUCCGGGGCGACACACGUGUUACAAUGGUAGGUACAGAGGGGCGCUAUCCAGUGAUGGAGUGCGAAUCUCAAAAACCUAUCUCAGUUCGGAUUGNAGUCUGCAACUCGACUCCAUGAAGUUGGAUUCGCUAGUAAUCGCGCAUCAGCCAUGGCGCGGUGAAUACGUUCCCGGGNCUUGUACACACCGCCCGUCACACCACGGG